rnacentral:rRNA from 1 species
CAGUCGCCGCGGUAAUACGGAGGGAGCUAGCGUUGUUCGGAAUUACUGGGCGUAAAGCGCACGUAGGCGGCUUUGUAAGUUAGAGGUGAAAGCCUGGAGCUCAACUCCAGAAUUGCCUUUAAGACUGCAUCGCUUGAAUCCAGGAGAGGUGGGUGGAAUUCCGAGUGUAGAGGUGAAAUUCGUAGAUAUUCGGAAGAACACCAGUGGCGAAGGCGGCUCACUGGACUGGUAUUGACGCUGAGGUGCGAAAGCGUGGGGAGCAAACAGGAUUAGAUACCCCCGUAGUCCCUGUCUCUUAUAC